GCCAUAACCUUCAUCCUCGGAUCGUCGGGCACGUACCAGCCCGGAUAAGGAAGUCUUC
rnacentral:ncRNA from 1 species